rnacentral:rRNA from 1 species
GACGAACGCUGGCGGCGUGCUUAACACAUGCAAGUCGAACGGUAAGGCCCUUCGGGGUACACGAGUGGCGAACGGGUGAGUAACACGUGGGUGAUCUGCCCUGCACUUCGGGAUAAGCCUGGGAAACUGGGUCUAAUACCGGAUAGGACCACUGCCUGCAUGGGUGGUGGUGGAAAGCCUGUGCGGUGUGGGAUGGGCCCGCGGCCUAUCGGCUUGUUGGUGGGGUGAUGGGCUACCAAGGCGACGACGGGUAGCCGGCCUGGGAGGGUGACCGGCCACACUGGGACUGAGAUACGGCCCAGACUCCUACGGGAGGCAGCAGUGGGGAAUAUUGCACAAUGGGCGCAAGCCUGAUGCAGCGACGCCGCGUGAGGGAUGACGGCCUUCGGGUUGUAAACCUCUUUCAGCACCGACGAAGCGCAAGUGACGGUAGGUGCAGAAGAAGGACCGGCCAACUACGUGCCAGCCGCCGCCGUAACAC